UACGAAGGGGGCUAGCGUUGUUCGGAAUUACUGGGCGUAAAGCGCGCGCAGGCGGUCCUUCAAGUCAGAGGUGAAAGCCCCGGGCUCAACCUGGGAACUGCAUUUGAGACUGCUCUGCUCGGGUGCGGAAGAGGGAAGCGGAAUUUCCGGUGUAGCAGUGAAAUGCGUAGAGAUCGGGAGGAACAUCUGUGGCGAAGGCGGCCACCUGGACCAACACUGACACUGAGGCACGAAAGCGUGGGGAGCAAACAGG
rnacentral:rRNA from 1 species